GCACAGUCAGCUCAGUAGGUAGAGCAUGAGACCCUUAAUCUCAGGGUUGUGGGUUCAAGCCUGCAGUUUGGG
rfam:Picoides pubescens contig56516, whole genome shotgun sequence.